rnacentral:piRNA from 1 species
UAGAAAGGGAGAAGAUUGGAGCCACCAGC